rnacentral:rRNA from 1 species
GGGAGGCAGCAGUGAGGAAUAUUGCGCAAUGGAGGCAACUCUGACGCAGCCAUGCCGCGUGCAGGAAGAAGGCGCUACGCGUUGUAAACUGCUUUUAUCCGGGAAGAAACCCCAGGACGUGUCCUGGGUUGACGGUACCGGAGGAAUAAGCACCGGCUAACUUCGUGCCAGCAGCCGCGGUAAUACGAAGGGUGCAAGCGUUAUCCGGAUUCAUUGGGUUUAAAGGGUGCGUAGGUGGGGCGAUAAGUCAGCGGUGAAAUCCUGCAGCUCAACUGCAGAAUUGCCGUUGAUACUGUCGCUCUUGAGUACGCUUGACGUGGGCGGAAUGUGCCGUGUAGCGGUGAAAUGCUUAGAUAUGGCACAGAACACCGAUAGUGAAGACAGCUCACGAAGGCGAAACUGACACUGAGGCACGAAAGCGUGGGGAUCGAACAGGAUUAGAUACCC